UACGAGGGGGGCGAGCGUUGUUCGGAAUUAUUGGGCGUAAAGGGUGCGUAGGCGGUUCCGCAAGUCCUGUGUGAAAUCUUCGGGCUCAACUCGAAGUCUGCACGGGAAACUGCGGGGCUUGAGUGUGGGAGAGGUGAGUGGAAUUCCCGGUGUAGCGGUGAAAUGCGCAGAUAUCAGGAGGAACACCGGUGGCGAAGGCGGGUCUCUGGGCCGAUACUGACGCUGAGGAGCGAAAGCAUGGGUAGCGAACAGG
rnacentral:rRNA from 1 species